GACGAACGCUGGCGGCGUGCUUAACACAUGCAAGUCGAACGAAAAGAGGGAAAGAGCUUGCUCUUUCCGGAAUUGAGUGGCAAACGGGUGAGUAGCACGUAAACAACCUGCCUUCAGGAUGGGGACAACAGACGGAAACGACUGCUAAUACCGAAUAAGUUCCAAGGGCCGCAUGGCCCAUGGAAGAAAAGGUGGCCUCUACCUGUAAGCUAUCGCCUGAAGAGGGGUUUGCGUCUGAUUAGCUGGUUGGAGGGGUAACGGCCCACCAAGGCGACGAUCAGUAGCCGGUCUGAGAGGAUGAACGGCCACACUGGAACUGAGACACGGUCCAGACUCCUACGGGAGGCAGCAGUGGGGAAUCUUCCGCAAUGGGCGAAAGCCUGACGGAGCAACGCCGCGUGAGUGAUGACGGCCUUCGGGUUGUAAAACUCUGUGAUCCGGGACGAAAAGGCAGAGUGCGAAGAACAAACUGCAUUGACGGUACCGGAAAAGCAAGCCACGGCUAACUACGUG
rnacentral:rRNA from 1 species